rnacentral:rRNA from 1 species
UACGUAGGGUGCGAGCGUUGUCCGGAAUUAUUGGGCGUAAAGGGCUCGUAGGCGGUUUGUCGCGUCGGGAGUGAAAACCCAGGGCUUAACUCUGGGCUUGCUUUCGAUACGGGCAGACUAGAGGUAUGCAGGGGAGAACGGAAUUCCUGGUGUAGCGGUGAAAUGCGCAGAUAUCAGGAGGAACACCGGUGGCGAAGGCGGUUCUCUGGGCCGAUACUGACGCUGAGGAGCGAAAGCGUGGGGAGCAAACAGG